rnacentral:lncRNA from 1 species
CCGUCUGUCAUGGCAGAUUUCCUUCAUUGAUCAUACUUCCAUUGCUUUGGCUGAGUAGAAUUUUAUUUCAUCAUUUUGGGAAUCAAUAAAAAAGGAAAAAAAGAGACAUGAGUUGAUAUAUUACUAUGGCAUUAAUACUCAAUUCGACCUUCCAUCAGAUUAAAUUUCAGCAAGUGCAAAUUAAAUUAAUAAAAAGGCUUGUCACGCUUUCUUCUCAACAUUGCUUUCAACAGCUUUGGGAUUUUAAUGCAAGUGGUAGGUAUCCAAAUCUUUGCCUUGUGUUUAAAACAUUGGAGAGUCCAGUUGGGAAUUGGCUACGAAAGGACAGAAAUACGAUUCUUGAUCUAAGGGGCAGACAUUUUCUUUCCAACAUGUGAUCUUUUUAUAAGUUAUCGCUGGAACCCACAAGUUAGUUACAUUGCGGCUGGGGAAUCGCUGCCCAAACUAAAAAGCGGAAGACCUCUGGCAGGAAACUCAACUCAUUCAGCUGAUGUUUACUGUGCUGGUGGUGACAGUAUAAUAAUAAAGGGUAAAGCAAAAAGUGCACUGAGAUGAGAAAGAAAAGAAAUCUGAAUAUCCUCAACAAUGGGAGGUAAAUCCGUCAGCCAUUGUCUUAUUCACCCUAGGGAAUAGGAUGGGUUACCAACCACAAAUUUAAAGCUUGGUGGAGUUACCCAACUACACACCGCAUGGGAGGAGUUAGACUCUGCCCAGGUUUGAGAGGUAUCUCAAAAAACUUUAAGCUUAAAAGGUCCAGAAUGGGCUGAAAAUGGAAAAAGAGAACAUACCUUAUCUGGCCACCAAUUACAACUUCAGAUUCAAUGGGUUUUACAAUCAUGCAUGAAGGGCGCUCAACCUCAGUAAAACAUUUGCUUUAUUCCAGAAAUCAGAACACAAAGUGAGGUAAUCCUCAAAGCAAGCAUUCACCUUUGAGGCCUAACUGAAUACCACUGGCACCCAUCUGCCUCACUCCCCCAUCCGAACGAAAAUAACAAAGCCAUUCUUGUCGCAAUCCACUUCGUAAUAAAUAGGUUCUUGAAAUAGGUCAGCAUAAACCCAACUCAUCAAUCAUACAGCUAAUACAUAAAGGCUCAUUCUAUAAAACACCAAACACAAGUCCACAACCGAAGAGUCCUUUUAUCGUGCGUCUGUACCACCUGAAAACCUAAUAAGGU